CCAAAACAACAGCCCCAUCGGUCUAUCCACUGGCCCCUGUGUGUGGAGGUACAACUGGCUCCUCGGUGACUCUAGGAUGCCUGGUCAAGGGUUAUUUCCCUGAGCCAGUGACCUUGACCUGGAACUCUGGAUCCCUGUCCAGUGGUGUGCACACCUUCCCAGCUCUCCUGCAGUCUGGCCUCUACACCCUCAGCAGCUCAGUGACUGUAACCUCGAACACCUGGCCCAGCCAGACCAUCACCUGCAAUGUGGCCCACCCGGCAAGCAGCACCAAAGUGGACAAGAAAAUUGAGCCCAGAGUGCCCAUAACACAGAACCCCUGUCCUCCACUCAAAGAGUGUCCCCCAUGCGCAGCUCCAGACCUCUUGGGUGGACCAUCCGUCUUCAUCUUCCCUCCAAAGAUCAAGGAUGUACUCAUGAUCUCCCUGAGCCCCAUGGUCACAUGUGUGGUGGUGGAUGUGAGCGAGGAUGACCCAGACGUCCAGAUCAGCUGGUUUGUGAACAACGUGGAAGUACACACAGCUCAGACACAAACCCAUAGAGAGGAUUACAACAGUACUCUCCGGGUGGUCAGUGCCCUCCCCAUCCAGCACCAGGACUGGAUGAGUGGCAAGGAGUUCAAAUGCAAGGUCAACAACAGAGCCCUCCCAUCCCCCAUCGAGAAAACCAUCUCAAAACCCAGAGGGCCAGUAAGAGCUCCACAGGUAUAUGUCUUGCCUCCACCAGCAGAAGAGAUGACUAAGAAAGAGUUCAGUCUGACCUGCAUGAUCACAGGCUUCUUACCUGCCGAAAUUGCUGUGGACUGGACCAGCAAUGGGCGUACAGAGCAAAACUACAAGAACACCGCAACAGUCCUGGACUCUGAUGGUUCUUACUUCAUGUACAGCAAGCUCAGAGUACAAAAGAGCACUUGGGAAAGAGGAAGUCUUUUCGCCUGCUCAGUGGUCCACGAGGGUCUGCACAAUCACCUUACGACUAAGACCAUCUCCCGGUCUCUGGGUAAAUGA